rnacentral:rRNA from 1 species
UAGGGAAUCUUCCGCAAUGGACGAAAGUCUGACGGAGCAACGCCGCGUGAGUGAAGAAGGAUUUCGGUUCGUAAAACUCUGUGGUUAGGGAAGAAAAAAUGUAUAGUAACUAUAUACAAAAGAGACGGUACCUAACCAGAAAGCAACGGCUAACUACGUGCCAGCAGCCGCGGUAAGACGUAGGUGGCAAGCGUUGUCCGGAAUUAUUGGGCGUAAAGCGCGCGCAGGUGGUUUAGAAAGUCUGAUGUGAAAGCCCACGGCUCAACCGUGGAGGGUCAUUGGAAACUAAUAAACUUGAGUGCAGGAGAGAAAAGUGGAAUUCCUAGUGUAGCGGUGAAAUGCGUAGAGAUUAGGAGGAACACCGGUGGCGAAAGCGGCUUUUUGGCCUGCAACUGACACUGAGGCGCGAAAGCGUGGGGAGCAAACAGG